UACGAAGGGGGCUAGCGUUGCUCGGAAUCAUUGGGCGUAAAGGGUGCGCAGGCGGUCCGUUAAGUCGGAUGUGAAAUCUCACAGCCUAACUGUGAUAGGUCAUUCGAAACUGGCGGGCUUGAGGACUGGAGAGGAGACUGGAAUGGUCGGGGUAGCGGUGAAAUGCGUAGAGAUCGAGCAGAACACCGGUGGCGAAGGCGGGUCUCUGGA
rnacentral:rRNA from 1 species